rnacentral:rRNA from 1 species
UACAGAGGGGGCAAGCGUUGUUCGGAAUUACUGGGCGUAAAGGGCGCGUAGGCGGCCUGCUAAGUCGAACGUGAAAUCCCUGGGCUCAACCCAGGAACUGCGUCCGAUACUGGUUGGCUUGAAUUCGGGAGAGGGAUGCGGAAUUCCAGGUGUAGCGGUGAAAUGCGUAGAUAUCUGGAGGAACACCGGUGGCGAAGGCGGCAUCCUGGACCGAUAGUGACGCUGAGGCGCGAAAGCCAGGGGAGCAAACGGG